rnacentral:rRNA from 1 species
UACAGAGGGUGCGAGCGUUGUCCGGAAUCACUGGGCGUAAAGGGCGCGUAGGUGGCGCGACAAGUCAGUGGUGAAAGUUCGACGCUCAACGUCGAAUCGGCCACUGAUACUGUUGGGCUUGAGCACUGUAGAGGCUAAUGGAAUUCCGGGUGUAGCGGUGGAAUGCGUAGAGAUCGGGAGGAACACCAGUAGCGAAGGCGGCACUCUGGGCCGGUACUGACGCUGAGGAGCGAAAGCGUGGGGAGCGAACAGG